UGCGGCAAAACGGAGAGCACGGCGAACUCUACACGUGUGUACCAGCAAUUUCAGUUUUGAGCAACCUAGGGAGUCCGGAAAUUGUGACCCAUUUUGAGGGUUUGUAGUGCAAAUUGGGGGUUUUGCAUAUAAUAGAGGAAACGGGAAAGAAGUGGCGGAUAACAUUCUACCACAGACUUAGUAUGGAUUAGGAGUUUAUUUUGUUAUUUUUGUAUUUGGGUCACUCUAUUUUUGUAAGACUAAACAUAAUGUAUUUUGUACGACGACAUAUGGACUUCUAAUAUUUUAAUUAUACCUAUGGGUUAUAACUUUUGUAUGAGCUGUCUAAACGUUGUAAAAUAUGGACAUUCGAUAUUAAUCUUGUAUUUUGGGACUGUAA